UACAGAGGGUGCAAGCGUUGUUCGGAAUUAUUGGGCGUAAAGGGCGCGUAGGCGGCGCGACAAGUCACCUGUGAAAUCUCCGAGCUUAACUCGGAGCCUGCAGGCGAAACUGUCGUGCUGGAGUAUGGGGAGAGGUGCGUGGAAUUCCCGGUGUAGCGGUGAAAUGCGUAGAUAUCAGGAGGAAUACCGAUGGCGAAGGCAGGUCUCUGGGCUAUAACUGACGCUCAUGCACGAAAGCGUGGGGAGCAAACAGGA
rnacentral:rRNA from 1 species